UACGAAGGGUGCAAGCGUUACUCGGAAUUACUGGGCGUAAAGCGUGCGUAGGUGGUUUGUUAAGUCUGAUGUGAAAGCCCUGGGCUCAACCUGGGAACGGCAUUGGAAACUGGCUUACUAGAGUGCGGUAGAGGGGUGUGGAAUUCCCGGUGUAGCAGUGAAAUGCGUAGAUAUCGGGAGGAACAGCUGUGGCGAAGGCGACACCCUGGACCAGCACUGACGCUGAGGUGCGAAAGCGUGGGGAGCAAACGGG
rnacentral:rRNA from 1 species